rnacentral:misc_RNA from 1 species
UUGGCGAGGUUUGAGGAUUAGGCCAUUAGUUUUGGUGCAGUGUUUGAGAUGAUUGCUAGAUGAGUGAAGCAAAGAGGACGAAGAAGGUGCGGUGUCAGAAAUGUAAUUUCUGGAAAGGAAAGGAGUCAGUGCUUUGUUCUUUUGGCGAGUAAGGUGAGAGAGAAGUGAAAUUGAAGCUCUUCUCAUGGUUGUAUUUGAGGGGUUCUGUGGAUAUACUUGUGAAAGUGGCUGUGGCUCUCAGUUAAACCCUUGCAAAACCCCAAAUCCUUCGAACUUUGUCUCAG